GGCUACGGCCAUGCCACCCUGAACAAGCCCGAUCCCAUCUCAUCUCAGAAGCUAAGCAGGGUUGGACCUGGUUAGUAUUUGGAUUGGAGACCACCUAGUCAGAACAGGUGCUGUAGGCA
rnacentral:rRNA from 1 species